rnacentral:rRNA from 1 species
CUGGCUCAGGAUGAACGCUAGCGACAGGCCUAACACAUGCAAGUCGAGGGGCAGCACAAGGAGCAAUCUGAGGUGGCGACCGGCGCACGGGUGAGUAACACGUAUCCAACCUGCCGCUUACUCGGGGAUAGCCUUUCGAAAGAAAGAUUAAUACCCGAUGGUAUAAAGAGUUCGCAUGUUCUCUUUAUUAAAGAAUUUCGGUAAGCGAUGGGGAUGCGUUCCAUUAGAUAGUUGGCGGGGUAACGGCCCACCAAGUCUACGAUGGAUAGGGGUUCUGAGAGGAAGGUCCCCCACAUUGGAACUGAGACACGGUCCAAACUCCUACGGGAGGCAGCAGUGAGGAAUAUUGGUCAAUGGACGAGAGUCUGAACCAGCCAAGUAGCGUGAAGGAUGACUGCCCUAUGGGUUGUAAACUUCUUUUAUAAGGGAAUAAAGUGAGGGACGUGUCCCUUUUUGUAUGUACCUUAUGAAUAAGGAUCGGCUAACUCCGUGCCAGCAGCAGC